ensembl:lncRNA
GUAGAUGUUAUAUUAUGUAAAGUAGACUAGGUUAUAAUGUAUAGUAGUGGGUUGUUAGUGAUAUGUAGAUGUUAUAUUAUGUAAAGUAGACUAGGUUAUAAUGUAUAGUAGUGGGUUGUUAGUGAUAUGUAGAUGUUAUAUUAUGUAAAGUAGACUAGGUUAUAAUGUAUAGUAGUGGGUUGUUAGUGAUAUGUAGAUGUUAUAUUAUGUAAAGUAGACUAGGUUAUAAUGUAUAGUAGUGGGUUGUUAGUGAUAUGCAGAUCAAGGUCUAUACCUCAGCUAUAGCCUACAUAUCAUAGAUGACCAGCCUAAACCUGUUCAGAUCAGUUCACAUAAUGUUAUAGUCCUACCAGUAGCAGGACAGAGAAUGUACUGUAUAUAACCUACAUAUCAUAGAUG